UACGAAGGGGGCUAGCGUUGUUCGGAAUUACUGGGCGUAAAGCGCACGUAGGCGGGUCGUUAAGUCAGGGGUGAAAUCCCAGAGCUCAACUCUGGAACUGCCUUUGAUACUGGCGACCUAGAGUUCGGAAGAGGUUAGUGGAAUUCCCAGUGUAGAGGUGAAAUUCGUAGAUAUUGGGAAGAACACCAGUGGCGAAGGCGGCUAACUGGUCUGAUACUGACGCUGAGGUGCGAAAGCGUGGGGAGCAAACAGG
rnacentral:rRNA from 1 species